rnacentral:rRNA from 1 species
GAAUUGGANAUGGGCGCAAGCCUGAUCCAGCCAUGCCGCGUGUGUGAAGAAGGCCUUCGGGUUGUAAAGCACUUUCAGCGAGGAGGAAGGGGUUGUAGUUAAUAGCUGCAACCUUUGACGUUACUCGCAGAGGAAGCACCGGCUAACUCUGUGCCAGCAGCCGCGGUAAUACAGAGGGUGCAAGCGUUAAUCGGAAUUACUGGGCGUAAAGCGCACGCAGGCGGUUGGUUAAGUCAGAUGUGAAAGCCCCGGGCUCAACCUGGGAAUUGCAUUUGAAACUGGCCAACUAGAGUACGUGAGAGGGGGGUAGAAUUCCAAGUGUAAC